ACAAAAUACCAAAAUCAACCUACGUAAUAUAUUGGGUUCAUUGUUGCCCGCCAAGCUUUGGUGGGCAACAACAAUACGUCUUUAUAUGUGGUACUUAGGACUUUUCAGAAGUAGGCGGAAUAGAAAAGUGAGACUAUGAAAAGGACAAACAAUAAUAGCGCUUUCUCUGCUACUCCCACUGAAAGUUAUAUAAGACCAUCACGUUCGGUCGUCUCCCCGCUCCCGCUUUUCACCACACUAUUGUUCACCUAAGGUGUUUGAUAUGUUAUGAUCAGUGAUCGGAACUAUGGGAGUAAAACUUUAACAAAACUUGUUAAGCGGACAUAAAAUAGUGCAUACAGCCCUAAAAAUAUUCAUGUCCAUAGGGAUAGGAAUAGUAUAGUACUUACAGCCAUAAAAAUAUUUACAUUCAUAGAUAUUCGAAUAUUUUUAAGGCACUCUUUUUACGUCCGCUUGAUAAGUUUUGUUUAAGUUUUACUCCCAUAGUUCCGAUCACUGGUUAUGAUCUCUCAGCCGCCAACAGUGAUAUUUCUGGUUAAAACAUUUUUUGUGUGGCUUGUAUAAUAUAAAUAUAUAUUUAUACUAGACAAAUAUACAUAAAUAUAUUUACGUACUUAGUUCGUCCCAUAUCUGAGGCACACAUAUUUAUGAUAAAAGCAAAUACAUGCCUUUACCAAGAUUCGAAUCCAGGACUAGCUUCCUAAGAGAAGUCCAUAAGGAACCAUAGAUAAUUAAUGACCACGGUUUUUCACACAUCACAACUUUAUUUACGCCCGUAACUAAACAACGAAACAAAUAUAAUUCUAUACGCUUUACUUAGUUGAUUAAAACGAGCAGUAUAUAUAACCUGCGCGUGAGUGGAUCUCUCAUACGGCACCAUGAAGUGGCUUUUGGCGUUCUGUGUGGUCGUCGCACUAGUUUGCACGGCGCUGGGUCAAGAUUACCACAGCCGCUAUGCCGAGCUAGCGUCCCCAGUACCCAGAAACGUAGAUGUACGUCAACUGGUCGACACCCUAAGAUCCGCUCAAAGGGACUAGGUCCCUACAGUACCACGGCGUCCGCCAUUUUGUUUCAAUCCACCAUCUUGAAUCCGUUAUUUGUCACCGUGGUUUACUUCUAUUUGGUUAUGUCCCACUAGAUGUAAAAUUUGAAAUUUAUAUUUUAGUAUGUAAGUAGAUAUGUUAUUGUUAUUGGCGAUGUUUUUGAUGUAUUUGUAUUUAUUGUAUUAAAGUUACGAGGUGUGCUUUAGUCGAACAAA